GAUGAACGCUGGCGGCGUGCUUAACACAUGCAAGUCGAACGAUGAAGCGCAGCUUGCUGGGUGGAUUAGUGGCGAACGGGUGAGUAACACGUGAGUAACCUGCCCUUAACUCUGGGAUAAGCCUGGGAAACUGGGUCUAAUACCGGAUAGGAGCGUCCACCGCAUGGUGGGUGUUGGAAAGAUUUAUCGGUUUUGGAUGGACUCGCGGCCUAUCAGCUUGUUGGUGAGGUAAUGGCUCACCAAGGCGACGACGGGUAGCCGGCCUGAGAGGGUGACCGGCCACACUGGGACUGAGACACGGCCCAGACUCCUACGGGAGGCAGCAGUGGGGAAUAUUGCACAAUGGGCGCAAGCCUGAUGCAGCGACGCCGCGUGAGGGAUGACGGCCUUCGGGUUGUAAACCUCUUUCAGUAGGGAAGAAGCGAAAGUGACGGUACCUGCAGAAGAAGCACCGGCUAACUACGUG
rnacentral:rRNA from 1 species